rnacentral:rRNA from 1 species
CCUACGGGAGGCAGCAGUGAGGAAUAUUGGUCAAUGGACGCAAGCCUGAACCAGCCAUGUCGCGUGCAGGAAGACGGCCCUACGAGUUGUAAACUGCUUUUGUACGAGGGUAAACGCAGACACGCGUACCUGUCUGAAAGUACCGUACGAAUAAGGAUCGGCUAACUCCGUGCCAGCAGCCGCGGUAAUACGGAGGAUUCAAGCGUUAUCCGGAUUUAUUGGGUUUAAAGGGUGCGUAGGCGGGCGGAUAAGUUAGAGGUGAAAUCCCGAGGCUCAACUUCGGAAUUGCAUCUGAUACUGUUCGGCUAGAGAAUAGUUGCGGUAGGCGGAAUGUAUGGUGUAGCGGUGAAAUGCUUAGAGAUCAUACAGAACACCGAUUGCGAAGGCAGCUUACCAAGCUACUUCUGACGUUGAGGCACGAAAGCGUGGGGAGCAAACAGGAUUAGAUACCCCAGUAGUC